rnacentral:rRNA from 1 species
AGCGAACGCUGGCGGCAGGCCUAACACAUGCAAGUCGAGCGCCCCUCCUUCAAGCGAGCUUGGAGGAUUGCGGAGCGGUCUCCUGGGCGGGCGAAAGCUCGCUUGAAGGACAUCGUUUUGAGAUCAAGCGAGCCCUUUAGGGGCUCGCUUGAUGGAGGGGAGCGGCAGACGGGAGAGUAACACGUGGGAACGUACCCUUUGGUUCGGAACAACCCAGGGAAACUUGGGCUAAUACCGAAUAAGCCCUUACGGGGAAAGAUUUAUCGCCGAAGGAUCGGCCCGCGUCUGAUUAGCUAGUUGGUGAGGUAACGGCUCACCAAGGCGACGAUCAGUAGCUGGUCUGAGAGGAUGAUCAGCCUCACUGGGACUGAGACACGGCCCAGACUCCUACGGGAGGCAGCAGUGGGGAAUAUUGGACAAUAGGCGCAAGCCUGAUCCAGCCAUGCCGCGUGGGUGAUGAAGGCCCUAGGGUUGUAAAGCCCUUUCGGCGGGGAAGAUAAUGACGGUACCCGCAGAAGAAGCCCCGGCUAACUUCGUGC